AGCUUGGAUUCACUGGCGUUAGACGAUUGGGUCUGUAGCUCAGUUGGUUAGAGCGCACCCCUGAUAAGGGUGAGGUCGGCAGUUCGAAUCUGCCCAGACCCACCAAUUGUUGGUGUGCUGCGUGAUCCGAUACGGGGCCAUAGCUCAGCUGGGAGAGCGCCUGCUUUGCACGCAGGAGGUCAGGAGUUCGAUCCUCCUUGGCUCCACCAUCUAAAACAAUCGUCGAAAGCUCAGAAAUGAAUGUUCGUGGAUGAACAUUGAUUUCUGGUCUUUGCACCAGAACUGUUCUUUAAAAAUUCGGGUAUGUGAUAGAAGUAAGACUGAAUGAUCUCUUUCACUGGUGAUCAUUCAAGUCAAGGUAAAAUUUGCGAGUUCAAGCGCGAAUUUUCGGCGAAUGUCGUCUUCACAGUAUAACCAGAUUGCUUG
rnacentral:tRNA from 1 species